CCUUGCUCCCCGAAGGAGACAGUCGAACUUCUUCUCCAAGUCCACAAAACACCUGUAGACCAGUUGGGUGAACUCCCAUGCACCCUACAGGACCCUGCUCAGGGUACAGAGCUGGUCCACUGUUAGAUGACCAGGGCAAAAACCACACUGCUCUUCUUGAAUCUGACUUUUGACUAUCCAAUGGUCCGUCCUCUCCAUGAACCCCAAAUAGACCUUAUGAGGGAGGCAUCACACCCGCCAGACCUCCUUUUUGAACAAAUGCCGGGAACACUGAAUCAAACAGUCUCACUUAUCAUAAGGGUUCUACGUUAUGGGUCUUUCAUAUUACAUUUGGAUGAAAUAUAUUUGUGGUUGCAAUGUAACAAUAUGGAACAGUUCAAGGGGUAUGAUUACUUUGUAAGCACUGUACAUCUUAACCCUGAAAUCAUGACAUGAAAAUCUUUUUGGAGAAAAUGUUAGAAUCUCUCGUCAUUUUUAAUGUCACUUUAUGUGACUGUUUGCUUUCGUAAAUAUGAUAGCGUGGAUCGUUUUUCUUGAUCAUUGUUGCAGUGGAUUUUAUAUGUAUUUAUUGUACACAUUUGUGAAUUAUGGUGUAUGCUUGUGGAUUUUGUUGUAGACAUAAGAGAUUUUUGUACACUUUGUGAAUCUUUUCAACACUUAUUUACUUCCGUAGAAAAGAGGCUUCAUAAACUGGUUUUGUACUUGCACAUGAAAGUUUGUUUGAGUUUUGUGAAUACGAAAGUGGCUGAUCUUGAAACACUUAUCGGUUCACUGUCAGAGUAGUUGCUGGAAAUGUUGCACCAGGGAGCAGUAGAUAAGACAAUCAGUUACUAUAUGUAUAUUCUGUUCUAUUUGAAAUUAAAAAGAUUUGAAAUAGGGACCAUAAAGUUUUCCUAAUUUUUCUAAUACAGUUAGCAUAAAUUUUUCCCUUCAAAUAAGCCUAAAUUUUUUGCGGAACUACGUUUUUAUUCUUCACCGUUUGCGUCACUUAAUUAAAGCUCUCCUUGUUUCAAUCUCUCCUCAGUCACACUGAACUUUUUAAUGCUGCAGCCCCCUAGUGGCUACCUCAUCAUCACUUAACAAGCAGGACAAAAUUUCGGCUCACUUUUGUCCUGUUGGACUCCCUCCACCUGGUGAGAAUUUGUUUGGUUUUGGUGGAAUUAACCCUUUGUUCUCCCAGUUUUAGUCUGUUUUUGCAGGGUUUUCCACGCAAACGAUCCUUGGAGGCUGCCAAGAAGACAGAGAGGAAACAAGACCUUGAGUCCAGGAAAUCCUCACCUACCUCAUGGACUUGGGCCUCAUACAAUCUGAGGAGAUGGAGUUCUUGUUUCUUUGAAUGUUCCAGGUGGUGCAAUCUGACCAGGUAAGUACAUAACAAAUGAAGGCUAAUUUAUUUGCCAAUUUUGUUUAUUUUAACUUGAGAUUGAUGACGUUGUAUAUCUAAGUUUGAUAGGAGGAAUCCAGUGGAUGUAUGCCCUUUUUUCUUGGGUCAUAUUGGUAUUUAUGUCUGUUAAUCAUUCUGAAAUGUUUAAAAAUGUCAUGAAUACUAAUUUGUUUUUUGUCUGUUUUUUUUUUACUACAGAGUCUGUGAUGUCACAUAGAUUGGAUGCCAAAUGAAAGCUUUGGAGCAGCGUUUUUUUUUUUUUUUUUUUUUUUUUUUCUACAGUUGUAAAUAGUUUUUCAUGUAUGUACAUAUUUAAAAUAGUUUCGUGUAAGAAUAUAGUUUAAUAUAUGUUUCAUGUAUGUAUAUAUGUAUAAUAGUUUGAUAUUUAUGACAAGUUGAUCAUCGUGGCAAAGCCAUGUUUCACUUGUGAGAUUAAAUCUGUCAGGCCUUACCUUGACACUCAGGCAACAACCCUGAGUGCCACACGGCCGGACAGGACACAUGUAAAAAAAAAAAAAAAUCGUUUUUAUUGCAGAGGCAUCAUGUUCUGAAAUUUAUUGUAAUCUUUAAAUGUUGUAAUUUUGGUUCAUUAUAAUCUUUACCUGUAAAAAGUUUGUAGAAAUCUUUAAUAUGACUUCAAUAUAUAUUUUUAAACUGUGA